GAUGAAGAACGUAGCGAAAUGCGAUAAGUAAUGUGAAUUGCAGAAUUCAGUGAAUCAUCGAAUCUUUGAACGCACAUUGCGCCCAUUAGUAUUCUAGUGGGCAUGCCUGUUCGAGCGUCAUUAAGUCCACUUAAGCCCUGCUUAGUGUUGGGAGACUGCUCCAGCGGUGCUACCCUGUAGCUACCCUGCAGCUCCUCAAAGACAGCGGCGGAGUUGUGGUAUCCUCUGAGCUUAGUAACUUGUUCUAGCUUUCGAGUACACCACUUCCCCUGCCGUAAAACCCUUAAUUUUUAAUGGUUGACCUCGGAUCUGGUAGGAAUACCCGCUGAACUUAAGCAUAUCAAUAAGCGGAGGA
rnacentral:misc_RNA from 1 species